AUUGAACGCUGGCGGCAGGCCUAACACAUGCCAGUCGAACGGUAACAGGAAGAAGCUUGCUUCUUUGCUGACGAGUGGCGGACGGGUGAGCAAUGUCUGGGAAACUGCCUGAUGGAGGGGGAUAACUACUGGAAACGGUAGCUAAUACCGCAUAACGUCGCAAGACCAAAGAGGGGGACCUUCGGGCCUCUUGCCAUCGGAUGUGCCCAGAUGGGAUUAGCUAGUAGGUGGGGUAACGGCUCACCUAGGCGACGAUCUCUAGCUGGUCUGUGAGGAUGACCAGCCACACUGGAACUGAGACACGGUCCAGACUCCUACGGGAGGCAGCAGUGGGGAAUAUUGCACAAUGGGCGCAAGCCUGAUGCAGCCAUGCCGCGUGUAUGAAGAAGGCCUUCGGGUUGUAAAGUACUUUCAGCGGGGAGGAAGGGAGUAAAGUUAAUACCUUGGCUCAUUGACGUUACCCGCAGAAGAAGCACCGGCUAACUCCGUG
rnacentral:rRNA from 1 species